rnacentral:lncRNA from 1 species
GCGAAGGGCAAGAUAUGGGGGAAAGGGUACAGAGCUUCCGUGACCUCUCCAGGAACACCAACCUCCCUGAAUCUCCCAGCAUUCACCAACACAGAAGCUCUCCAAACCCUGUCCUUCAGCUUCAUAGAGAUGAAUAUGACACUUUUGAAAGGUGUAUAUUGAAGAUGUUUUGGAAACCAUGUGUUGAUGAUGGUAGAAUUCAAAGAAGGAAGAGGUCUGGGUACUCGAUCUACCAUAUACAGUGGAUCUGGCAUCCAAUCAGGAAGACUUGCCACCCAUACCAGACCAUUUGCAUUGUUCAUAACAGCCAAAAUGUGAAGACAACCUAAAUGUCCAUCAACGGAUGAAUAGAUACCCAAAGUGUGACAGAGGAAUACAAUGGAAAAUUAUGAAGCAGUUAAAAAGGAAUGAAGUAAUGGUGCAUGCUACAAUGUGGAUGAAUCUCAAAAACAUUUGUAAAGUGAAAGAAGCCAUUACAGAAGACCACAUAUUUCACAUAUUGCAUGGGUCCAUUUCAAUGAAAUAUCUGGAAUAAACAAAUCAUUAUGGAUAGCAGGUAGAUUGGCAUUUGCCUAGGGCUAGGGGAAUAGGGGGAAAUGGGUAGUGACUAUUAAUGGGUAUGUGGGUGAUGAAAGUGUUCCAAAACUGAUUGUCACAGUGAUUGUGUAACUUUUUGAAUACGCUAAAAACCAUUGGAUUAUACACUUAAAAUUGGCAAGUUAUAUAGUAUAUGUAUUAUAUCUCAGUAAAGUUACAAGAAA